AGUCAAUAGAUACCCUGGUAGUCCACGCCGUAAACGAUGAGUACUAGGUGUAGGAGGUAUCGACUCCUUCUGUGCCGCAGUUAACACAAUAAGUACUCCGCCUGGGAAGUACGGUCGCAAGAUUAAAACCUCAAAGGAAUUGACGGGGGUCCCGGCACAAGCAGCGGAGCAUGUGGUUUAAUUCGAAGCAACGCGAAGAACCUUACCUAGACUUGACAUCUCCUGAAUAGCGCAGAGAUGCGUGAAGCCCUUCGGGGUCGAGGAAGACAGGUGGUGCAUGGUUGUCGUCAGCUCGUGUCGUGAGAUGUUGGGUUAAAGUCCCGUCAACGAGCGCAACCCCGUAUUAUUAGUUGCUACCAUUAAGUUGAGCACUCUAAUGAGACUGCCCGGGGUUU
rnacentral:rRNA from 1 species